AUACUUAACUGGCAGGGGAGAGAGAUAUCAUGAUCACGAAGGUGAUUUUCCCAGGGCGAGGCUUAUCCAUUGCACUCUGAAUAUGUUGAUCUCUGCGAUUUCCCCAAAUGUGGGAAACUUGGCUGCAUAAUUUGUGAUAGUGGGGGACUGCAUUCGCACUCUCCUCUG
rfam:Pteropus alecto contig27910, whole genome shotgun sequence.